UGAACCCGGGAGACGACGGAGCUUGCAGUGAGCCAAGAUUGUGCCACUGCACUCUGGUCUGGGCGACAGAGCAAGACUCCGUCUCAAAAAAAAAAAAAAGAAAAGAAAGAAAUGAAAACAUUGAGGCUAGACUAACUGAUGAAGAGUGGUAACGGCAUAAAGAAGUCGAAAAGAAAGACGGAUAGGAGCUGCAUUCAAUAUAUGAGUACAGCUGAUGGAUGCUGACAGAGAGGGAUCCUCCGGAGACGAAGCCUCGGUCUCUUCGGUAGUCUCCAGUGUUCCAUUUGCUCGCCGCAGUUACAUCAACAGCUCUCUGUAUAGGGGUAGUUGCAUAAAAUACAACUUAAAUCACAAUGCUAAAAUAAAUAUGAGCCCAUGAGCAACGCUAAAAUAAAUGUGAGCCCAUGAACGGUAUCAUAGGCCUGAUUUUAAAAAAACAAAACCUAGAAGAAGAUAGAAAUUCCAAAGGCGAGAGACGAAUCUGCCAACCCAAAUCCUGGGUGACAAGGCUGGUGGGUCACCGAGGCAAGAACAAACCAGCGCGAGCUCAAGCCACACCCCUAGGCUCAUACCCAACGCUUGACAUUCGCCGCCGCACUUUCGCCACGCUUUCCCAAGCGCACCCGGCAAACUGAAGGAGGUGGGGCUGAAACCAUAAAAGGGGACUGGGCGGAGCGAGCCGCGUCGUCGCCAAGGCAACUCGAGAACUAGGCGUCGCGAACCGACUGAAGGCAGCUGAGGUUGCUCCUGGCGCGGUUCAUCAUCGGCCGCCGCACUUUCGCGACUGAGACAAAACGACGCUCACCUUUACUUAAUGGAAGGCUCCGCUUACAUCCUGAAUUUAAGGGAACUACAGAAGGGGACAGAAACUGCUUUCUUUUUAAACAAUGCCCUGAAAGGUUACUAGUGACAGGGGACUUAGUGAAGCGCGUGAUGUGAAUGGCCAAGCUACACGGCUGGAGAGAAAAGAGGAGGGGAUGAAGUUGGACCCUGAUCACGAAUCCUCGGCCUUUUAUCAGGGGCGCCGCCACUCGAGAUCCGACCAUUCACCUCCAACGAGGGGACAGCGAAUCUGCUGUCGUGUGCAGUCCACAGCAACCACAGGUAUAUGAAAUAAUGUCACUACAUCGGAGCAGCGCCUCUGCUUGCACACCUAUGGGAGUCUGCAGCUGUGACACGUAGAAGUUGGCCACAUCCAGGUCGGUGGCUCCAAAGUGGGCGGCCACACGCACACCCUCGUGCAACGUGAAGCUCACCUGAUGACCCACCAUGGCCAGUAGGCUGCGGAGGUAACGCUCCCGAAGGGCAGCUCGGGCCCGCUGCUCCUGGAAUUCCGGGGAUUCUUGAGCUAUGGGACACUCCUGGAUUUCAGGAACCUCUGGCCUCACGGGGGCUCUGCGUCCAUCAGGGGCAAAGCCACGGCUGAAGCCAUCAGGGCCCCGGGGCAGCCGGAGCACAGGCACAGGAAUGGUCACUGGAGUUUGCAUUGUCUUGGCUGUUGAGUGAAGAAAAAGGGCAGGAAGUCAUUACAUGGCUCUUCCUGUCUCUGCACAUGAACUAUGAGCUCCUUGCAUGACAGGACCCUGCAGAGAGGCCAAGGAUGUGAACCAGGGCUACUCAAUCUGGACACUAUUGACAUUUGGGGCUAGAUAAUUAUCUGCUGUGUUGUGGGGCCUGUCCAACGCAUAGGUGUAAGGCUGGAGCAGCAUCCUGGCCUCUGCCCCCUAUUAAUAGAUACCAGUAGCAUCCCCUCUUCAAGUUACGACAGCCAAAAAUGUCACCACUGGUGAACACUGAACUGGUGAAUGUGAAUUGCAUCUCAAUACAAUGUUUUUUUUUUAAAAAAAGUCUC